CCUACGGGCGGCAGCAGUAGGGAAUAUUGCUCAAUGGGGGAAACCCUGAAGCAGCAACGCCGCGUGGAGGAUGAAGGUUUUCGGAUUGUAAACUCCUUUUGUUAGAGAAGAUAAUGACGGUAUCUAACGAAUAAGCACCGGCUAACUCCGUGCCAGCAGCCGCGGUAAUACGGAGGGUGCAAGCGUUACUCGGAAGCACUGGGCGUAAAGAGCGCGUAGGCGGGAUAGCAAGUCAGAUGUGAAAUCCUAGGGCUUAACCAUAGAACUGCAGUUGAAACUGUUAUUCUAGAGUAUGGGAGAGGUAGGUGGAAUUCUCGGUGUAGGGGUAAAAUCCGUAGAGAUCAAGAGGAAUACUCAUUGCGAAGGCGACCUGCUAGAACAUAACUGACGCUGAUGCGCGAAAGCGUGGGGAGCAAACAGGAUUAGAUACCCCUGUAGUC
rnacentral:rRNA from 1 species